rnacentral:rRNA from 1 species
AAGACCUUGCGCUUUUGGAGCGGCCGAUGCCUGAUUAGCUUGUUGGUAAGGUAAAAGCUUACCAAGGCUUCGAUCAGUAGCUGGUCUGAGAGGACGACCAGCCACACUGGGACUGAGACACGGCCCAGACUCCUACGGGAGGCAGCAGUGGGGAAUUUUGGACAAUGGGGGCAACCCUGAUCCAGCCAUGCCGCGUGAGUGAAGAAGGCCUUCGGGUUGUAAAGCUCUUUCAGCCGGAACGAAACGGUUACGGUUAAUACCCGUGACUACUGACGGUACCGGAUGAAGAAGCACCGGCUAACUACGUGCCAGCAGCCGCGGUAAUACGUAGGGUGCGAGCGUUAAUCGGAAUUACUGGGCGUAAAGCGUGCGCAGGUGGUUUUGUAAGUCAGAUGUGAAAGCCCCGGGCUCAACCUGGGAACU